UUUUUUUUUUUUUUUUUUUUUUUUUUUUUUUUUUAACUGAAAAUUCAUCCUAAUUACUUUAGUUUUAAAACCAGUAAAAUGAAAAGAGUGCUUAGAAAUAAGCAUCAAUAGAUUUGACGGGAAUAAUC
rnacentral:ribozyme from 12 species